rnacentral:rRNA from 1 species
UACGGGGGGGGCAAGCGUUGUUCGGAAUUACUGGGCGUAAAGGGCUCGUAGGUGGCCAACUAAGUCAUACGUGAAAUCCCUCAGCUUAACUGGGGAACUGCGUCUGAUACUGGAUGGCUUGAGUUUGGGAGAGGGAUGCGGAAUUCCAGGUGUAGCGGUGAAAUGCGUAGAUAUGCGGAGGAACACCGAUGGCGAAGGCGGCAUCCUGGACCGGUAUUGACGCUGAGGCGCGAAAGCCAGGGGAGCAAACGGG